rnacentral:misc_RNA from 1 species
AAGUCGUAACAAGGUCUCCGUAGGUGAACCUGCGGAGGGAUCAUUAGAAAACGAGUUGCGAGACUCGAAAACCAUCGCGAACAUCACCUCGUCGUCGUUGCUUCGGCGGGCGGCCCCGCGAAGGGGGCCCGCAAGGCCCGCGAGGGCGCCCGCCGGAGGAGCGUGAACACUCUGUUUUCUUAGCGCCUCUCUGAGUGGAUACAGCGAAAAUGAAUCAAAA